rnacentral:lncRNA from 1 species
UUCUGCCUUCCCUCACAGAGAAAGGCACUGGGCUGAUGGCGUGUUAAAGGCACACAGGACUGAUUCUUCAUCCCUUUGGUCCUCAGCCUAGAAGGCCCAGAUUCACAUGUACCUGGCCAAACGAACAACUCCAUGUUUUCCAAAAGGCUUGGAGAACAUACCAGGUACCUCUCCUCUUUCCCUUUGUGUUUGUCAUUUUGGCGAAUUACUGGAAGAUGGUGGUUCCAGCUGAAAGGCUUUUUGGCAAUUUUUAACAGCUGAAAAUAAACCUUGAAAUAAACAUUUUCUCCUUUAACUGAUGUCUGGGAAGGAAGAAACAAAAAAAGAAAGAGAAGAAAGGAAAUAAGGAAGGAGGGAGGGAGAGAGUGAAGGAGGGAAGAAAAGAGAAUUAAACACGAUUAUCUACAUAUCAAUGGAAAAUUUCAAAUAUAUUCUAGCAUAAUUUUUUUCUACUUAGUAUCCAUUAAAAAAGGGAAUCAUUGUGGAAUGCUUAAAUCAAUCAAAUGAACACAGCCAUCCCUCGGAUACUUAUUUUUUUUUUUUUUUGUGGUGAGAACAUUUGAAAUUGAUUCUCUUAGUAGUUUCGAAAUGUGCCAUAUGUUAACUAUAGUCACUGUGCUGUGUAAUAGAUCUCAAAAAGUACUCCUCUGCAUCAUAUACAUAUAUCAUAACCUUGUAUUAUACCCCAUAAAUAUGUAUAAUUAUAAUCUGUCCGUUAAAAAUAAAAAUUAAGCUUUAAAAAA